UGAGGAAUAUUGGUCAAUGGGCGAGAGCCUGAACCAGCCAAGUAGCGUGCAGGAUGACGGCCCUAUGGGUUGUAAACUGCUUUUAUAUGGGAAUAAAGUGAGGGACGUGUCCCUUAUUGCAUGUACCAUAUGAAUAAGGACCGGCUAAUUCCGUGCCAGCAGCUGCGGUAAUACGGAAGGUCCAGGCGUUAUCCGGAUUUAUUGGGUUUAAAGGGAGCGUAGGCUGUUUGUUAAGCGUGUUGUGAAAUGUAAGAGCUCAACUUUUAGAUUGCAGCGCGAACUGUCAGACUUGAGUGCGCACAACGUAGGCGGAAUUCAUGGUGUAGCGGUGAAAUGCUUAGAUAUCAUGAAGAACUCCGAUUGCGAAGGCAGCUUACGGGAGCGCAACUGACGCUGAAGCUCGAAGGUGCGGGUAUCGAACAGG
rnacentral:rRNA from 1 species